rnacentral:rRNA from 1 species
ACGUCGACCGGCGCACGGGUGAGUAACGCGUAUCCAACCUUCCCAUUACUGUGGGAUAACCUGCCGAAAGGCAGACUAAUACCGCAUAGUCUUCGAUGACGGCAUCAGAUUUGAAGUAAAGAUUUAUCGGUAAUGGAUGGGGAUGCGUCUGAUUAGCUUGUUGGCGGGGUAACGGCCCACCAAGGCGACGAUCAGUAGGGGUUCUGAGAGGAAGGUCCCCCACAUUGGAACUGAUACACGGUCCAAACUCCUACGGGAGGCAGCAGGU